CCAAAGAGAAGGGAAACAGGCAAUUACAGAUCUGCUGCCUGUAGCUGGGUUGGAGCCAGCCCAGCCAGUGGACAGGCACUCGCUGCUCAGCCAGCAUCAGCUGUGAGGCCUGGGCUCAGACCUAAGCCACCAGGAAUGAGGACUGCAUUCCCAAGAAAUGCUGGAGAGGAGACAGCCAAGGGAAAGCCUCCACGGCAUGGUGUCCCCAUGGCACAGCAGGCUGCAGCCUCCAGACAUCCCUGUAAAUCCAGCCUGAGGUCAUCCAUGCUACACACACAGCUGAAGUGGCUUUAGAAAGCUCCAAGAGCUGGUCAUCUAAACCCUUGGCAAGGCUCUUCAGCUGCCAGCAUACAAAGUUACCCUCGCUGCCUGCCCUACAACCUGAACAGAGAAACUUGUGCAAAGCCUGCACAGAUGUGUCUUUCCAGCCAAGUAUGUCUGGUUCCUGAAAGGGGAAUAACCCUAGCUGGAGAGUAAACAUGACCUGCAGAUUACAAGUGCAGACAACAUGAGACUCCUCGAGCUCCUUCCAUCUUCUUACAUGGCUAUUACGAGAAGCAGCUGCAUGAAAGGAUAUUGCACCAUCUUGGAUCCUAAAUCCAGCAGAGCGCAGGAUUACAUUCAUUGACAUGGAUUCUGAGCUGGUUCCCCCCUCGAGGAGGAGGAGGAGGAGGGAGAUUUCCCUUUCCAUGGCAUGAUGCAAUGCUGACAGUUGUACACAACCAGCUCUGAAGACAGAGACAGAUGCCAGUGCUUGCAUGGAAGAGUUUGACAUCUGAUCCUUCAUGUCCUGUUUGUUCAACAAAAGAAGCAGCAUGUGAGCAUUGGA